AAUACACGCAGAAUUUGAAGAUCUUAGUUUCGCACAAUCCCGCAUAGCGUUUUGGCUACCUGGGUAGCCACGGGCACCAGAAGGCUACCAGUACUGUUUCAAUGACAAUAUCAAAAAGCUGUCAAUCAAAGAAACCCUGAACGAUUUUGUUGUGAAGGUGUAAGUGUUCCUAUAGCCAGGUGGAAACCGUGGAAACGCAAAACAAAGUAGAAAAAUUAUUUCACCAGAAGUGAAUACAAGCUCGUGGAUUAUUCCUUCCUUUUGAUUGUCGAACGAAUUAAUAGACUUGGAGUGGAUAUUAUAGCCAGUCAGGAAAAUCUGUUUUGUCUGUAGCACUAAUAAAAUGUCAAGAAAUACAAAAUACAACAAAGCAAAGAGGGAACUUAACCGCCUUAUGCGGAUGGAAGAAGGACUUUUAUUGGUAGAUUCAGAGGACUCUGUCUGUAGCCUUAGUCUAAAACGCAGCUGCUUAAAAACUUGUAGAACGAUUAGAGUCAGACGUCGGAAAGCAGCCAUAGAAGCGUGACAGCAAGAAAAUCAAUCAGACCACCCGCACUAAUUACACCCCAGAGUUGCUCAUCAUUAGGAUCAUUCUUAUAGAAGCAGCAAGGCAGUAUUACUUAUUUUUGUAAUCUACGCGACAACACAUGUGACUAUAGCUACCGGAUUUUGAACUGUUGUAUCUGCCUGUGGCUUCCCCGGAUAAAAGUGUUAUCGUUCGAGAUGCACCAUCAACGCUCUCAUCGUCUAACGUUGCUACAUCAGCAUGCAGAAUCAAUGGAUCUGCUGGAAACGUUACGUUAGAAACGACACCAAAUGUUCCGCAGUCAGAUCAGUGAAAAUUCACCACUAAUUAUAAAUAAAUAAUUCGAGAGUUGUUCACUAUUAUAUUUCGGAAAAUGAAUAAAAUUGUUUGAGUUUAA